rnacentral:lncRNA from 1 species
AUAAUUAAAUAUGAUAAUCAACAAGGUAAAUAAAAAAAUUCAAAAUAAAAAUAAUAAACAAGGUAAAAAAAUGUUUAUAUAUUAAACACUAAAAUAAAAUAAAUAAAAUAAAAGUUUAAACACUAUCUAACUAUUUCAUCUUUUGAUUAAUAUUAUUUUACAGUAAUCAAUCUAAAAAAAAAUUCACCAUCGCAAUCUCCGGCAACGAC